AAAAAGAGCAUUUUAUUUUAAUAAAGAAUUGAGAUCAAUAUACUGUUUUAAUGGAUACAAAAAUAAAUAUUCAUUCAGCAUAUUAAAGAUACGUGCUUUAACAUUCAUUCAAAUUGGAGAUCCAAGUAUUGUCAUCUUGCGAACACUUCAGCAAACAGGUCUGUUAUUCUUAAAAAUAUAAUGCUCACUUUGUGGGACGAAAAGGAAAAGCCAUGUUCCCUGGUCUUGUCGUGUGUUCACGUGUGAACUCAUCCACAUCUAAAUGACCUCUGGGUCUGACUGUCGCCCUCGCAGGUGUGGUGCUGGAAGAAGGAAAUGGGCAUUCUCUGGCUUUUCAGAUUUUAAACCAGCAACUCUCAUGAUCACAAAUCUGCCAUGAGACUUGUCACCAUGAGACUUGGGAGAUUGGAUGAGCUGUCCCCCAAGCCACACCACCUUCCACCUUCUCAGAAUGAAGGCUGCUAGGUGAGGCCCCUGCCUGCCCUCUCACUGGGCGGUUCUGAAUGUGGGGUGAUGCUGACUCAGGCUGGGCUAAUGGGGAAAGAGGGACAUGGAAAGUAAAAUGUUUCUAGUACAAAUAUGUAUAUUUGGUUUUUUUUUUUUUUUUUUUUUUU